rnacentral:rRNA from 1 species
UACAGAGGGUGCGAGCGUUAAUCGGAAUUACUGGGCGUAAAGCGCGCGUAGGCGGCUUUGCAAGUCGGGUGUGAAAUCCCCCAGGCUCAACCUGGGAACUGCAUUCGAGACUGCAUUGCUAGAGUAUGGGAGAGGGAAGUGGAAUUUCCGGUGUAGCGGUGAAAUGCGUAGAUAUCGGAAGGAACAUCAGUGGCGAAAGCGACUUCCUGGACCAAUACUGACGCUCAUGUGCGAAAGCGUGGGGAGCAAACAGG